rnacentral:rRNA from 1 species
ACCCGCACAAGCGGUGGAUGAUGUGGAUUAAUUCGAUGCAACGCGAAGAACCUUUACCUACCCUUGACAUGUCCGGAACUUGCCAGAGAUGGCUUGGUGCCCGAAAGGGAAUCGGAACACAGGUGCUGCAUGGCUGUCGUCAGCUCGUGUCGUGAGAUGUUGGGUUAAGUCCCGCAACGAGCGCAACCCUUAUCAUUAGUUGCCAUCAUUUGGUUGGGCACUCUAAUGAGACUGCCGGUGACAAACCGGAGGAAGGUGGGGAUGACGUCAAGUCCUCAUGGCCCUUAUGGGUAGGGCUUCACACGUCAUACAAUGAUCGGUACAGAGGGUUGCCAACCCGCGAGGGGGAGCUAAUCCCACAAAGCCGAUCGUAGUCCGGAUCGCAGUCUGCAACUCGACUGCGUGAAGUCGGAAUCGCUAGUAAUCGUGGAUCAGCAUGUCACGGUGAAUACGUUCCCGGGUCUU